UUAAAUAUAACUUAAACUUUUGCUGUUUUAGAUGCUCAAAGUUAUAUUGAAGUUGUAGCCGACAACAUCAAUGAAGUUGCUUUAGAGAGGAUCAGUCAGUUAAACCCCUAUUAUAUGAUUUAAUAAUUUAGUAUUUAGUCAUUUACUACUAGCUUCUCUUACUGUGAUGGAGACAUUUAAAGAGGAAACAGCUAGUGCAUAGCUUUACAAUAUAGAUAGUGAGGAAUUAAUGGGUAUGUUUAGUGAUGCAAAAGUAUGGUUUCCUAAUGCAACAAUUUGUUAUAUCACUUGCAAACUAAGAUCAAAAAAGAAUAGGACUGUUGACUAUCUAGACACUCCAGAUUUAAGUUUAAGAGAAAAGAUUGUUAAAUGGUCAAUUAAUGUAGCACGUAAAAACAAAUUUACAUAUUGACUGAAUCGAUGCAAAGUAAGAGAUGAGAUUUGCCAAAGACAAAAAAUCAAGUGGCAAAGUUAAUAAAAGGAAAAAAUGACUUCAUUUACACCAUUUCUUACUGGAAAGAUGAUGAAACUGAUAUUGAAGCUGCUGACUAUUGCAUGAAAAAGACCCAGCAUGCUGCUGAUGUUGUUUCUGUACUAAAACAUCAUCAACAUAUCUAUUAUGAGUUUUACAUUCAUCUCUCAUAUUUGGUGGUUGUCUGGUAUGAAUUUAUUUUUUAAAUUGUUUCCAGUUUCAUAAUUUUUUUUUUAAUUUAUUAUUCAAAUUUUGAAAACAGUAAUUGCAUAUUUUUUCUUUUUUU